rnacentral:rRNA from 1 species
GACGAACGCUGGCGGCGUGCUUAACACAUGCAAGUCGAGCGGUAAGGCCCUUUCGGGGGUACACGAGCGGCGAACGGGUGAGUAACACGUGGGUGACCUGCCCUCAGCUCUGGGAUAAGCCCGGGAAACUGGGUCUAAUACUGGAUAUGACUCCACGGUGCAUGCCGUGGGGUGGAAAGCCUUGUGCGGCUGAGGAUGGGCCCGCGGCCUAUCAGCUUGUUGGUGGGGUGAUGGCCUACCAAGGCGACGACGGGUAGCCGGCCUGAGAGGGCGACCGGCCACACUGGGACUGAGACACGGCCCAGACUCCUACGGGAGGCAGCAGUGGGGAAUCUUGCGGCAAUGGGCGAAAGCCUGACGCAGCGACGCCGCGUGAGGGAUGACGGCCU